rnacentral:rRNA from 1 species
UACGGAGGGUCCAAGCGUUGUCCGGAGUUACUGGGCGUAAAGCGCGCGCAGGCGGCGGUGCUGGCCCGGCGUGAAAGCCCCCGGCUCAACCGGGGAGGGUCGUCGGGGACCGCACCGCUUGAGGGCGGUAGGGGCUGGUGGAAUGCCUGGUGUAGUGGUGAAAUGCGUAGAGAUCAGGCGGAACACCCGUGGCGAAGGCGGCCAGCUGGGCCGUCCCUGACGCUGAGGCGCGAAGGCGUGGGGAGCGAACGGG